UACGUAGGGGCUAGCGUUAUCCGGAAUUACUGAGCGUAAAGGGUGCGUAGGUGGUUUCUUAAGUCAGAGGUGAAAGGCUACGGCUCAACCGUAGUAAGCCUUUGAAACUGGGAAACUUGAGUGCAGGAGAGGAGAGUGGAAUUCCUAGUGUAGCGGUGAAAUGCGUAGAUAUUAGGAGGAACACCAGUUGCGAAGGCGGCUCUCUGGACUGUAACUGACACUGAGGCACGAAAGCGUGGGGAGCAAACAGGAUUAGAUACCCUGGUAGUCCCUGA
rnacentral:rRNA from 1 species